UCAUCUCAGUUAACAAAAUUAGGUACAGAGAAAAUAUGGUUCCAGCCGCCUAUCUGUCUUUUUUUUUCAAUUUUGAUUUACAUUUUGUGUAAAACAAACUUUUCAAUAUUGUGAAACAAAUUUAGGUUUUCUUUUUUUUGUAGCAGGAAUAACGCCUAAGGUUUUGUGCAGCCUAAAGCCAAGGUCUGAGCCAUGCAUGGGCAGAUCACGAACAUGGUACUUUGAUUUAGGGAGCAACAGCUGUCACAGGUUCCCAAGCGGUCACUGCGCAGCAAAUGACAAUGGUUUCACGACCAGGCAAAAGUGCCUGGCGAGAUGUAGUUAUGAAAAAUAGUGGACGAGCAGCCUACAGGGUCAAGAAAGGCCACGGUAUCUGUAACUAUAUACAAGAUCCCUAAUGACUUUCUGACUGCCAUAAAAACGUGUUCAUUGACUGU